UGCGUGUGUGUGUUCGCAAGAUGGCGUCUUUUUCUCUGUUUUCAAAUCCUUGCUGCUCUUUGCUCAGGUCCUGUGGAGUCCCACUGUCAGCUCAAAUGAUUCCCAAAAGUAGUUUUUCUUCAGUUUACUUCUUCAUCCGUCUUCUCCUAGCCAGCAUGAGCCAGUAAUGUUAUAGUCUCGCCACGCCCCUUUGCUACCUCCGUAGGUAGCGAAGGGGCGGGGCGAGACUAGUAAUGUUACUAAACGUAGUCAGGAUUCCGGGUAAGUUGGGUAACUCUCUCAUGACGAAGGAAAUUUGUCUUAAAUUCUUAAUUUCUGAGAUAUGGUAGCUCAAAUAUCGCUUACCGCGACUGUUUACACGAGGUCCUGUUCUCCAGGAAGAUCUGUCAGAGUCUUUUAAACUGUAGAUUCUUACUAUCAAGUUUGUAUGCAACAAAUAGAGCCAGAUUAUUGUGUCAUAAACUGUGUAUAAGUGUAGAAAACUGAAGCUUUUUUUACCAGUAACUGUCCAUUGUGUGUAACUAUGAAGUAGGCGGUGCUUAAUUUGAGCCACACCUUCAAUUGUUGCAGCAAAGCAAUGCAAGGCUGAGCAAGCUAACAUGUACAGUAACAUAUCCCAGAAAUCACGUGACUAUAGAACCCUGAAUUGUAAUAAAUGUAAUGUGUGCCUAGACUUAAUUAUUGGUUGUAUGUCUUGUCUGUAAUAGAUCCCUUCUUAAUAAUUUGUGUUAAUGUGAAACUAUUUCAUAAUUUGUGUCAUAGUAUAUAAAUGUUUGAUUCUGUUGUUUUGGUUGAUCUUUUGAUUGUUAAUAAUCGUAUC